CCUACGGGUGGCAGCAGUGAGGAAUAUUGGUCAAUGGGCGAGAGCCUGAACCAGCCAAGUCGCGUGAGGGAAUACGGUCCUAUGGAUUGUAAACCUCUUUUGUCGGGGAGCAAAAAGGCCUCGUGAGGCCACCCGUGAGAGUACCCGAAGGAAAAGCAUCGGCUAACUCCGUGCCAGCAGCCGCGGUAAUACGGAGGAUGCGAGCGUUAUCCGGAUUUAUUGGGUUUAAAGGGAGCGUAGGUGGAUUGUUAAGUCAGUUGUGAAAGUUUGCGGCUCAACCGUAAAAUUGCAGUUGAAACUGGCAGUCUUGAGUACAGUAGAGGUAGGCGGAAUGCGUGGUGUAGCGGUGAAAUGCUUAGAUAUCACGAAGAACUCCGAUUGCGAAGGCAGUUCACUGGACUGCAACUGACACUGAGGCUCGAAAGUGUGGGUAUCAAACAGGAUUAGAUACCCGAGUAGUC
rnacentral:rRNA from 1 species